rnacentral:rRNA from 1 species
UAACCUGCCCAAGAGAUCGGGAUAACACCUGGAAACAGAUGCUAAUACCGGAUAACAACAGAUGAUGCCUAUCAACUGUUUAAAAGAUGGUUCUGCUAUCACUCUUGGAUGGACCUGCGGUGCAUUAGCUAGUUGGUAGGGUAACGGCCUACCAAGGCGAUGAUACAUAGCCGAGUUGAGAGACUGAUCGGCCACAUUGGGACUGAGACACGGCCCAAACUCCUACGGGAGGCAGCAGCU